CAAUCUGCCUUGGAGUGGGGGAAUAACGGCUGGAAACAGCCGCUAAUACCGCAUGAUACAGCUGGGAGGCAUCUCCCUGGCUGUCAAAGAUUUAUCGCUCUGAGAUGAGCUCGCGUCUGAUUAGCUAGUUGGCGGGGUAACGGCCCACCAAGGCGACGAUCAGUAGCCGGACUGAGAGGUUGGCCGGCCACAUUGGGACUGAGACACGGCCCAGACUCCUACGGAAGGCAGCAG
rnacentral:rRNA from 1 species